rnacentral:rRNA from 1 species
AUGAACGCUGGCGGCGUGCCUAAUACAUGCAAGUCGAGCGAACAGACGAGGAGCUUGCUCCUCUGACGUUAGCGGCGGACGGGUGAGUAACACGUGGAUAACCUACCUAUAAGACUGGGCUAACUUCGGGAAACCGGAGCUAAUACCGGAUAAUAUAUUGAACCGCAUGGUUCAAUAGUGAAAGACGGUUUUGCUGUCACUUAUAGAUGGAUCCGCGCCGCAUUAGCUAGUUGGUAAGGUAACGGCUUACCAAGGCAACGAUGCGUAGCCGACCUGAGAGGGUGAUCGGCCACACUGGAACUGAGACACGGUCCAGACUCCUACGGGAGGCAGCAGUAGGGAAUCUUCCGCAAUGGGCGAAAGCCUGACGGAGCAACGCCGCGUGAGUGAUGAAGGUCUUCGGAUCGUAAAACUCUGUUAUUAGGGAAGAACAAAUGUGUAAGUAACUAUGCACGUCUUGACGGUACCUAAUCAGAAAGCCACGGCUAACUACGUG